rnacentral:snRNA from 1 species
AUACUUACCUGGCAGGGGAGAUACCAUGAUCAUGUAGGUGGUUCACCCAGGGCGAGGCUCACCAUUGCACUGAGGCUGUCUGACCUCUGCGAAUUCCCCAAAUGUGGAAUCUCGACUGCAUAAUUUCUGUGUGGGGGACUGCGUUCGCGCUCUCCUCCU